rnacentral:rRNA from 1 species
CCUACGGGAGGCAGCAGUGAGGAAUAUUGGUCAAUGGACGAGAGUCUGAACCAGCCAAGUAGCGUGAAGGAUGACUGCCCUAUGGGUUGUAAACUUCUUUUAUAUGGGAAUAAAAUGUUCCACGUGUGGGAUUUUGUAUGUACCAUAUGAAUAAGGAUCGGCUAACUCCGUGCCAGCAGCCGCGGUAAUACGGAGGAUCCGAGCGUUAUCCGGAUUUAUUGGGUUUAAAGGGAGCGUAGGUGGAGUGUUAAGUCAGUUGUGAAAGUUUGCGGCUCAACCGUAAAAUUGCAGUUGAAACUGGCAGUCUUGAGUACAGUAGAGGUGGGCGGAAUUCGUGGUGUAGCGGUGAAAUGCUUAGAUAUCACGAAGAACUCCGAUUGCGAAGGCAGUUCACUGGACUGCAACUGACACUGAGGCUCGAAAGUGUGGGUAUCAAACAGGAUUAGAUACCCCUGUGUC